rnacentral:lncRNA from 1 species
UGAGUUACCAUAAUUUUGAUUUCUGUACCCGAUUUGUAGGCUGUCAUUUUUACUCGUGGUUCGUUCUCGUUCACGAUCUGCAAGAUAGCGGGACAUUUCGAGUCUAAUUCCUUUUUUUCCGGAUAUGGAGCCGUCACAGAUAAUUAGAUUAGGGUCAGACCGGGACUCUUGUAUGUUAUAUUUAUAUACAACUUAUUAUAAGGAUGUUAAAUCACUUCCGUCUAUAAAAGACGUGUCCCGAUACAUCUUAAUCGUUAGAUCUAUCGUAUCUUUAUAGAUCGACUUGAAUAGACCGACUGUAUUUUUAUAGAUCAUCUUGAAUAAAUCAUGUGGGCCAUAUCCAGCAAUCUUUGGGAAAUAAGU